rnacentral:rRNA from 1 species
UACGUAGGGUGCAAGCGUUAAUCGGAAUUACUGGGCGUAAAGCGUGCGCAGGCGGUUUUGUAAGUCUGUCGUGAAAUCCCCGGGCUCAACCUGGGAAUGGCGAUGGAGACUGCAAGGCUAGAGUUUGGCAGAGGGGGGGUAGAAUUCCACGUGUAGCAGUGAAAUGCGUAGAGAUGUGGAGGAACACCGAUGGCGAAGGCAGCCCCCUGGGUCAAGAUUGACGCUCAUGCACGAAAGCGUGGGGAGCAAACAGG